AGAGCGAACGCUGGCGGCAGGCCUAAUACAUGCAAGUCGAGCGGUCCCUUCGGGGGCAGCGGCGGACGGGUGAGUAACGCGUGGGAACGUGCCCUUUGGUACGGAACAACUGAGGGAAACUUCAGCUAAUACCGUAUGUGCCCUUCGGGGGAAAGAUUUAUCGCCAUUGGAGCGGCCCGCGUUGGAUUAGGUAGUUGGUGAGGUAAAGGCUCACCAAGCCUACGAUCCAUAGCUGGUCUGAGAGGAUGAUCAGCCACACUGGGACUGAGACACGGCCCAGACUCCUACGGGAGGCAGCAGUAGGGAAUAUUGGACAAUGGGGGCAACCCUGAUCCAGCAAUGCGCGUGAGUGAUGAAGGCCUUAGGGUUGUAAAGCUCUUUUACCCGAGUAUGAUAAUGACAGUAUACGGAGAAUAAGCUCCGGCUAACGUCCGACGCCAGACCAGCCGC
rnacentral:rRNA from 1 species